rnacentral:lncRNA from 1 species
UUACACGUUGGGGCCAAUAGCCCUACUGCUGAGGAGCUCUAUGUAAAAACCAGGAUCAGCAAGCGGUCUUGAUGUUUUCUUCUUGGAGUUGGAUGUUGUCAAGGAUUCAGAUGAGCCACCCCAGUCUCAGACAUCUCAACUCUGAGAGACACAACUAGUUCUGAAGAAUAUGGAGCCUACGUAGAUUCAUAAGGUAAAUGAUUAAUUUCAAACUAUGACACAAUGGAUUCAAUUAUAGGAUGAAAUCCAGCAUUGUAUA